rnacentral:rRNA from 1 species
CCUACGGGAGACAGCAGUAGGGAAUAUUGCUCAAUGGGGGAAACCCUGAAGCAGCAACGCCGCGUGGAGGAUGAAGGUUUUAGGAUUGUAAACUCCUUUUGUUAGAGAAGUUUAUGACGGUAUCUAACGAAUAAGCACCGGCUAACUCCGUGCCAGCAGCCGCGGUAAUACGGAGGGUGCAAGCGUUACGCGGAAUCACUGGGCGUAAAGCGUACGUAGGGGGGGUAAUAAGUCAGAUGUGAAAUCCUGUAGAUUAACUACAGAACUGCAUUUGAAACUGUUACUCUGGAGUGUGGUAGAGGUAGGUGGAAUUCUUGGUGUAGGGGUAAAAUCCGUAGAGAUCAAGAGGAAUACUCAUUGCGAAGGCGACCUGCUGGAACAUUACUGACGCUGAUGCACGAAAGCGUGGGUAGCAAACAGGAUUAGAUACCCCAGUAGUC